UGCUCAAUAUUUGGCCCAAAUAAUUAAGAGAAGUCAUAGAAAGGAACAAAACUGGCUUGCCAUAUAUUUCCACAAAUGUCUGCAGCUCGCAUCAAUGGCGCCGCCGCCUGGACCAUACUCCGGCACUAGCACGCUCGCGUUGGUUGCUAGGGUUUCCGCUUUCUCGUUUGGAGUUGUCUACGGGAGCAUAAAGCUCAAGAUUCUUAAGUUUCAGGCCAAAUCUCACAAGAAAGCUGAAGCUAAAGGACAACACUAGGAGGACACCGAGUAUUUUCUUUUGGUUUUCCGUUUAGAAUACCAUAUGGGAAACAUUACCUUUUCACUAUGGCCUGAUGUAUAAAGACCUCAAUUUUUUUUACCACAGCUGAGUCUGUGAUGUGGGCAAUGGUUCCAAUUCACAGGCCUAAUCUCUGCCCGGCUAAGUGAUAUUUAAGGCCUUUGUUUGCGGGGCCGUUCAAAUAAGAAUGGUUAUGGAGUGACAUGGAUGACUUGAAUGAAGGGACUCGACUUAUUAUGCAAAUUAAACACAUCUGAUAACAAGUGACUUUGUCAGAUAAUCUUAUUUGCUUCAAAAGUACAAGGAAGAAGAAUACGAGUAUGUAGAGACAAGCAUGCUGCAUGUUCAAGACUCAUCAUUUUCAUCAACAAAUUUACAAUGGACCAGUAUUUUCUACGCUACACAUUUAUAGUAUUAUAUACAUAUAAUAAGGCCUAAUAAAUGUGAAAUAUCUACUCCACCAACUCAUUUAUUAAGUAUUCUUGAUUUACAAAAAAGAAGUAAAUUAAAUAAAAGUGAAGUAAAUAUUAAUUUAUUUUUGGGUGCUGCAUUUGCAUGUGUUUGCAUACUAGAUAGGAGGGACAUCCCAAUUUAGUGUAUAUUUUUGUUAUUGAAUUUAUGCAAAUAGGGCUAUCCCAGUUUGAUGGGUAAAUGCAAUUAAAGUUAAACAGGCAAGAGUUUGGCCUUAGUUUUGAGAUUCACAUUGAAAAGACUUGCUCCAUUGCUGCUGCUGUUGCUGUUGCAUGUUCAGAAAUAAUCCUUUCAAAUAUUAAAAGCAGAGGUCAUAUGCUACCUAAACUGUAUGUGCUAGAUUGGAAUUAUCAUAUAUAUUAUAUUAUCAUUAUAAUAAUAAUAAUAAUAAUAAUCUCAAUAGUAAGUCAAAUUUGUGAGGGUAUAAUACUUAUACUAGUAGUAAUUAUAUAAUCAUGAGGAACAGUAGUUGUAACUUGUAGAAUGUGUCAUUCUAAUUCCUGCCCUCAGGUCUCCAUCAAAUGCAACAGAGCUGGGUUGGGUUGAACAUGCAAAAAGAUAAGUUGAAAAAGAUGGAAAUAAAGAAAGAAAGAAGGAAAGAAAUAUAGAAAAGCAAAGAGUACUGAUUGAACAUAGAAUGAAUAAUAUUGACGAAACGAUUCUCUCUCAGGGUGCAUGGAAACACCACUGUGAGGAAAAUUUACAGGCUGUUUUUACAAAUCAGAUCCAACCCAGAAAACAUUAAUUAAUAUUCAUGGGUCAUGGGUUAGAGACUACAAAUAUAUAUAUAUAUAUAUAGAUCUUCCAUGAGUGAAGAAAGAUGUUUAAAAAAAGACAAAAAGCAGCAA